UACAGAGGUCCCGAGCGUUGUUCGGAUUCACUGGGCGUAAAGGGUGCGUAGGUGGCGAGGUAAGUCGGAUGUGAAAGCUCGGAGCUCAACUCCGAAAUGGCAUUGGAAACUACCUUGCUCGAGGGUUGGAGGGGGGACUGGAAUACUUGGUGUAGCAGUGAAAUGCGUAGAUAUCAAGUGGAACACCAGUGGCGAAGGCGAGUCCCUGGACAACUCCUGACACUGAGGCACGAAAGCUAGUGGAGCAAACAGG
rnacentral:rRNA from 1 species